rnacentral:tRNA from 1 species
UAUUAAAAAGCUAUAAGUUAGCAUUGGUCUUUUAAACCAUCCCAUAGUAGAAAUCGUCGCCUGCUUUUAAUAU